AACGAACGCUGGCGGCGUGCUUAACACAUGCAAGUCGAACGCGAAAGGGACUUACGGUCCUGAGUAAAGUGGCGCACGGGUGAGUAACGCGUAGAUAACCUGUCUUCAUGUCUGGAAUAAUACGCCGAAAGGGGUACUAAUACCGGAUAUUCUUGCUUUUCAUAAGUUAUGCAAGCAAAGGUGGCCUCUGCAUAUGCUACUGCAUGAAGAGGGGUCUGCGUACCAUUAGCUAGUAGGUGGGGUAAUGGCCUACCUAGGCGACGAUGGUUAGCGGGUCUGAGAGGAUGAUCCGCCACACUGGCACUGGAACACGGGCCAGACUCCUACGGGAGGCAGCAGUGAGGAAUAUUGCGCAAUGGGGGAAACCCUGACGCAGCGACGCCGCGUGAGUGAAGGAAGGCCUUCGGGUCGUAAAGCUCUGUCAAGAGGAAAGAAGUGUACAAUGGCUAAUACCUGUUGUAUUUGACGGUACCUCUAAAGGAAGCACCGGCUAACUCCGUGCCAGCCGCAGC
rnacentral:rRNA from 1 species